rnacentral:rRNA from 1 species
GGUAACGACACUAGCUUGCUAGUGGUCGACGAGUGGCGGACGGGUGAGUAACGCGUAGGAAUCUACCUAGUAGUGGGGGAUAGCCAAGGGAAACUUUGGGUAAUACCGCAUACGAUCUAAGGAUGAAAGGGGGCCUCUCUUUGAAGCUCUCGCUAUUAGAUGAGCCUGCGUAAGAUUAGCUUGUUGGUGGGGUAAUGGCCCACCAAGGCGACGAUCUUUAGCUGGUCUGAGAGGAUGAUCAGUCACACUGGAACUGAGACACGGUCCAGACUCCUACGGGAGGUAGCAGUCGGAAAUAUUGGACAAUGGGGGAAACCCUGAUCCAGCCAUGCCGCGUGUGUGAAGAAGGCCCUAGGGUUGUAAAGCACUUUUAGUAGUGAGGAAGGCUCGGUAGUUAAUACCUACCGGGAUUGACGUUAGCUACAGAAAAAGCACCGGCUAAUUUCGUGCCAGCAGCCGCGGUAAUACGAAAGGUGCAAGCGUUAAUCGGAAUUACUGGGCGUAAAGCGCGCGUAGGCGGCUUGGUAAGUUGGAUGUGAAAGCCCCGGGCUCAACCUGGGAACUGCAUCCAAAACUGCCUAGCUAGAGUAUGGUAGAGGAUGGCGGAAUUUCCUGUGUAGCGGUGAAAUGCGUAGAUAUAGGAAGGAACAUCAGUGGCGAAGGCGGCCAUCUGGACCAAUAUUGACGCUGAGGUGCGAAAGCAUGGGGAGCAAACAGGAUUAGAUACCCUGGUAGUCCACGCCGUAAACGAUGAGAACUAGCCGUUGGACAUCUUGCAUGUUUAGUGGCGCAGCUAACGCGAUAAGUUCUCCGCCUGGGGAGUACGGCCGCAAGGUUAAAACUCAAAUGAAUUGACGGGGGCCCGCACAAGCGGUGGAGCAUGUGGUUUAAUUCGACGCAACGCGAAGAACCUUACCUACACUUGACAUCCUCGGAACUUUCUAGAGAUAGAUUGGCGCCUUCGGGAACCGAGUGACAGGUGCUGCAUGGCUGUCGUCAGCUCGUGUCGUGAGAUGUUGGGGUUAAGUCCCGUAACGAGCGCAACCCUUAUCCU